GGGGGUUAGAAUUACAAAUGCAAAAAUUGUUAAGCCAGGCCAACUAGAAUUGGACAAACAAUGGCUGAAUAGUGAACUGGUUUUACUUUACAGCUUUAAGGGUAUAUAAUUUUGCUUAUAUUAAGUCAUUUGUACCUCAUUCAAAAAGGUUCGUUUUGGGGUCAUAUGUCCAACUGCUUCCAAAAAUUUGCCUCGAAAAAAGUGGAAUAUUUCCUGACAUAAACAGCAAUAAUGGCAACGGUAGUGAGGACAACACAAAGCGAAGAAACAUUGACCACAACAACCUCACAGGAGCCAUAGAGCCCGAGCAUCGUUUUGAAACUUCGCAAACCUCAGUCUGAGCAAACUGUUCGAUGGACAGAGGAAACGAUUGACAAUGAACACAUGGGAAAGAAAUCUUCCAAAUGUUGUUGUAUUUAUGAAAAACCUCGGAUGUUUGGGGAAGACUCGUCGUCAGAUGAUAAUUCUAGCGAUAGUGAUGACAAUGCUUACGAGAAGAAAACGAAGAAAGAGCGAGCGCAGAAGAAACUAUCGAAACAACAUGAUUGUAAUGAUCACGAUCACAGCCAGCAUUCUUCUGAUCUGCCAGGACCACCCACAUGACACAAUAGUCUCAUCCUUUUAACUUUUAUACAUAUAUAUUUAUUUUAAAUAAUUUGCUCAAAGCAAGGCCAUAUUAUAGUUUGAAUUCAUCGCUCAUAUACACUGAUUGGCACUCCAGAAGUGUGUGUACUAAUAUGGGGGUAACUAAUUUUGUUCCUAACCUAACUUUACAUCAAGUUGUGCAAAAGGACUGAAACCUAUGGGCAUGGGGUAAAUUCACUUGGCUAACACAGACAGUCCCCGAACUCGUAAUAGAACUAAAAUAAGGAAAAUCAAAAUAAAAUUAUAGCCUAACCCUAACCUGGUACUCAUACUACGGGAGUACCCACUGGUUGAGGCAAGACAUGGGCAGUUCAUGUCAUUACGAUCAGUUCAAAAAGCUGUGAGAAAAUGUUUUCAUACGUACAAAUAUUUCAAAUUUUUUGGUUUAAGCGCUGAUUGCACAUUUCUAGUUUGAAUCUUGUUCCACUUCACCCAGGUAUUGAUUUGCACAUGAGAGAAUUUCUUACGUUCACCAUUUUUCCAAAUAAGAAGUUGUUCCAACCAUAUCAUUAGAUGCCGGUGGCCGCUUGUAAAAAUAGGGCGAUAGCAUUAUAACCAGGCACGAGAGUUGGUACUGCCGAAGUAUGUGAACCAAGAUGACGGACACCAGAACGUAGUAUGUGUACCAAGUUAGGGUUAGGCCAUAAUCUCAGGCACAAAUACUAUGGGAGUCAUUUGGCUAGUCCCCGAACGAAUAUAGAAAAUUGGAAUAAAAUUAUGGCCUAAACUGGUACGUUCUGAUGUCCGCCACCUUGGUUCACAUACUUCAGUACCUGAGUUUUCACUGGAGCCGUAGUCUCAUUUUUUAACUCCUCAAGUCUACAAUUCAUAUUUUUAUGUAUUCAUAAUAACGACCCCAUAGGUGUUCGAAAAUCAUAAUACAAACCGUCUUAAGGGACUUUAGGGUCGAAAAAGUCUACACAGUGAAAAAUCUAUAAGCCCCAUAUUCUAACAGAUGACCUGUGGAUACAUCUUUUUUAUUUUCUGAUUGUCAAUUGUAAAACGUUCACCGCACUUACUGAUUUAAUACUUGUAUUUUAAAUUAAACUUGAGUUUCAAAA